GUGGGGAAUAUUGGACAAUGGGCGAAAGCCUGAUCCAGCCAUGCCGCGUGUGUGAAGAAGGUCUUCGGAUUGUAAAGCACUUUAAGUUGGGAGGAAGGGUAGUAACCUAAUACGUUGCUACUUUGACGUUACCGACAGAAUAAGCACCGGCUAACUUCGUGCCAGCAGCCGCGGUAAUACGAAGGGUGCAAGCGUUAAUCGGAAUUACUGGUCGUAAAGCGCGCGUAGGUGGUUCAGUAAGUUGGAAGUGAAAUCCCCGGGCUCAACCUGGGAACUGCUUUCAAAACUGCUGAGCUAGAGUACAGUAGAGGGUGGUGGAAUUUCCUGUGUAGCGGUGAAAUGCGUAGAUAUAGGAAGGAACACCAGUGGCGAAGGCGACCACCUGGACUGAUACUGACACUGAGGUGCGAAAGCGUGGGGAGCAAACAGGAUUAGAUACCCGAGUAGUCC
rnacentral:rRNA from 1 species